rnacentral:rRNA from 1 species
UUUCAAACGAGAGUUUGAUCCCGGCUCAGAAUCAACGCUGGCGGCGCGCCUAACACAUGCAAGU